AGUGAACGCUGGCGGUAGGCCUAACACAUGCAAGUCGAACGGCAGCACAGGAGAGCUUGCUCUCUGGGUGGCGAGUGGCGGACGGGUGAGGAAUACAUCGGAAUCUACUCUGUCGUGGGGGAUAACGUAGGGAAACUUACGCUAAUACCGCAUACGACCUACGGGUGAAAGCAGGGGACCUUCGGGCCUUGCGCGAUUGAAUGAGCCGAUGUCGGAUUAGCUAGUUGGCGGGGUAAAGGCCCACCAAGGCGACGAUCCGUAGCUGGUCUGGGAGGAUGAUCAGCCACACUGGAACUGAGACACGGUCCAGACUCCUACGGGAGGCAACAGUGAGGAAUAUUGGACAAUGGGCGCAAGCCUGAUUCAGCCAUACCGCGUGGGUGAAGAAGGCCUUCGGGUUGUAAAGCCCUUUUGUUGGGAAAGAAAUCCAGCUGGCUAAUACCCGGUUGGGAUGACGGUACCCAAAGAAUAAGCACCGGCUAACUUCGUGCCAGCCGCCGCGGUAA
rnacentral:rRNA from 1 species